ensembl:snRNA U6 U6 spliceosomal RNA
GUGCUCCGUUGGGCAGCACAUCCACUAAAACUGGAAUGACACAGAGAAGAUUAGCAUAGCCCCUGUGCAAGGAUGAUGCACAAACUCAUGAAGCAGUCUAUAUUAAA